AUACGGAGGGUGCGAGCGUUACUCGGAGUCACUGGGCGUAAAGCGUCCGUAGGCGGUCGGGUAAGUCGGGUGUGAAAGCCCCGGGCUCAACCUGGGAAGUGCACCCGAUACUGCUCGACUCGAGUGCGGGAGAGGAUGGCGGAAUUCCCGGUGUAGCGGUGAAAUGCGUAGAGAUCGGGAGGAACAUCAGUGGCGAAGGCGGCCAUCUGGCCCGCAACUGACGCUGAGGGACGAAAGCGUGGGGAGCAAACAGGAUUAGAAACCCCGGUAGUCC
rnacentral:rRNA from 1 species